CCUACGGGAGGCUGCAGUGAGGAAUAUUGGUCAAUGGACGAGAGUCUGAACCAGCCAAGUAGCGUGAAGGAUGACUGCCCUAUGGGUUGUAAACUUCUUUUAUAUGGGAAUAAAACGUUCCACGUGUGGGAUUUUGUAUGUACCAUAUGAAUAAGGAUCGGCUAACUCCGUGCCAGCAGCCGCGGUAAUACGGAGGAUCCGAGCGUUAUCCGGAUUUAUUGGGUUUAAAGGGAGCGUAGGUGGAUUGUUAAGUCAGUUGUGAAAGUUUGCGGCUCAACCGUAAAAUUGCAGUUGAAACUGUCAGUCUUGAGUACAGUAGAGGUGGGCGGAAUGCGUGGUGUAGCGGUGAAAUGCUUAGAUAUCACGAAGAACUCCGAUUGCGAAGGCAGUUCACUGGACUGCAACUGACACUGAGGCUCGAAAGUGUGGGUAUCAAACAGGAUUAGAUACCCUGGUAGUC
rnacentral:rRNA from 1 species